GAUGAAGAACGCAGCGAAAUGCGAUACGUAAUACGAAUUGCAGAUUCAGUGAAUCAUCGAGUUUUUGAACGCACAUUGCGCCCCCUGGUAUUCCGGGGGGCAUGCCUGUCCGAGCGUCAUUGCUGCCCUCAAGCACGGCUUGUGUGUUGGGCCUCCGUCCUCCUCCCGGGGGACGGGCCCGAAAGGCAGCGGCGGCACCGCGUCCGGUCCUCGAGCGUAUGGGGCUUCGUCACCCGCUCUUGUAGGCCCGGCCGGCGCUUGCCGACACAUCAAUCUUUUUUCCAGGUUGACCUCGGAUCAGGGAGGGAUACCCGCUGAACUUAAGCAUAUCAAUAAGCGGAGGA
rnacentral:misc_RNA from 1 species